rnacentral:rRNA from 1 species
GGGGCAGUUGGUUGGUCGUGCCACCGGUACGUACUGGUCUCACUGAUUCCUCCUUCCUGAAGAGCCGUAAUGCCAUUAAUUUGGUGUUGCGGGGAAACAGGACUGUUACUUUGAAAAAAUUAGAGUGUUUAAAGCAAGCUAACGCUUGAAUACAUUAGCAUGGAAUAAUGAAAUAGGACGAUCGAUCCUAUUUUGUUGGUUUCUAGGAUUGACGUA